GGAAGGAGAAGUCGUAACAAGGUUACCGUAGGUGAACCUGCGGUAGGGUCAUUG
rnacentral:rRNA from 1 species